rnacentral:rRNA from 1 species
CCUACGGGAGGCAGCAGUGGGGAAUAUUGCACAAUGGGGGAAACCCUUAUGCAGCAACGCCGCGUGAGGGAAGAAGUCUUUCGGAAUGUAAACCUCUAUCAGCGGGGAAGAAAAUGACGGUACCUGCGGAAGAAGCCACGGCUAACUACGUGCCAGCAGCCGCGGUAAUACGUAGGGGGCAAGCGUUAUCCGGAUUUACUGGGUGUAAAGGGAGCGUAGACGGCCAGACAAGUCUGAAGUGAAAAUCAAGCGCUUAACGUUGAAAGUGCUUUGGAAACU